AUUGAACGCUGGCGGCAUGCCUUACACAUGCAAGUCGAACGGCAGCACGGGUGCUUGCACCUGGUAGCGAGUGGCGAACGGGUGAGUAAUAUAUCGGAACGUACCUUAUUGUGGGGGAUAACGCAGCGAAAGCUGUGCUAAUACCGCAUAAUCCCUAAGGGGGAAAGCGGGGGACCGUAAGGCCUCGCGCAAUUAGAGCGGCCGAUACCUGAUUAGCUAGUUGGUGAGGUAAAGGCUCACCAAGGCAACGAUCAGUAGCUGGUCUGAGAGGACGAUCAGCCACACUGGGACUGAGACACGGCCCAGACUCCUACGGGAGGCAGCAGUGGGGAAUUUUGGACAAUGGGGGCAACCCUGAUCCAGCAAUGCCGCGUUAGUGAAGAAGGCCUUCGGGUUGUAAAGCUCUUUUGUCAGGGAAGAAACAGCAGCUCUAACACAGUUUGCGAAUGACGGUACCUGAAGAAUAAGCACCGGCUAACUACGUGCCAGCCGCCGCAGUAA
rnacentral:rRNA from 1 species